rnacentral:lncRNA from 1 species
CCCGCUCCUAGCCAUCAACGUUUGCCGUGUACGGCCGUUAGGCACACGGCAAACACAAACUUUGUCGUAUGCCAGAGGUGUGGCACACGACAAAUAAUUUGUCUUUUUUCAGAUUUUAUCUUUCAAUUUUUUUCUCUACACACUCACCAUUUAUAACUCCAUACUCAAAUUUCAUAAAAUUUAAAACAUGUUUGUUAUAUUUUUACAAUUAAAAGCAUUUAUUUUUAUUUUUCCGGAUGCAGUCAUAUUUAAACUACGAGUCAGUGAAAUAGUUGGAAAAAAUAUCAGAAAAAUGAUAUUCAUGUUACCCAACCCU